rnacentral:lncRNA from 1 species
UUUUGGUGUCUACUGAUCUACCUGUGCGAAGUUCAGAAGCUCUGGUUUCCCUCACGGUCAUCCAUGUUCUGCAGAGGAGCCAUCCCCGAGAGCAUCUGCCCCCAAGUGCAUGUCAGCUUCCCGUCUGAUGGGCAGAUCUUUGCUUUAGACUCCUACCCUGUCCUAUUUACAACUCAUUGACUCUGUCCUCCUGUCCACAAGCACCAGAAAUGUCAUCAAGCUCAUCUAGAGCACAGCCCUGUCCAUGUGAGCAGUCUCCUUCAGCUUCCUUCUCCAUGCUUAUUUCUCAAUUUGAAUGCCAGGCAAGAUCAUCAUGGCUGACAGGAGAGGCUCCAGCAUGGAAUGAUCCUAUACUGAACAAAUCCUAUGAAGAUUCAAGGAAUAGACUCCGUCCAGGGAGAAGAAGGAACAGGCCAUGAGACCCAAGCCUCAACUCUUGCACAAGAAUGGGUGUAUUUUCUCCCAGAGAAAGAUGAUCCAGAAACAAUGCUUGGUGAAACCCGAAACAACAGGCAGGUAGAGAAGAAAGAAGGAGAAGGAGUGGAAAUGACAGAAAAGAAGCAAAAGGAAGAAAUAAUAAUUUUGAAAUCAUCAUAGGAUCCAGCUGUCCACACUCAGCGUUGUUUCUGGCCUCUAGCCGUGGCUUUGGUGACGUGAGUGUAAAUUUCGUGCUUCCUACGCUACAGUUUCUGAAAGGAGGAUUGGUUUUUAAGCAAGUAUUCAAAACCAGCUCCCAUCUCCCUUCAUAUCGGUCAAACAAUCCAACUUAAUCAAGAGCAUUCUAUUUGCUCAAAUGUUCUUGUGUUAUUUCAUUAAAA